UUACUUUACAUACCGAUAUCUUAAUUAAUUAGCCGGACAUGCUAAACAGGUCUAAACAAUUAUCAUGCUUAAAUAAAGCCAUAUCAGGUAAACAAUAUAAAUAAACAAUAGUGCAACCUUCAUUCCGCUUACUUUACAUACCGAUAUCUUAAUUAAUUAGCCGGACAUGCUAAACAGGUCUAAACAAUUAUCAUGCUUAAAUAAAGCCAUAUCAGGUAAACAAUAUAAAUAAACAAUAGUGCAGAGCAUAUAUAAAUUAAAACAAUAAAUUAAAGAACCUGAAAAAUUAAUAGGAAUCUUGAACACUCCACCACAGACCGGUUGGAUUUGUUCUUGCAAUCUUCAAUCGGACAGAAAAAUAAAAAAAAACAAAGGAAUAAAAUACUAUGAUCUAACGUAAGGUUAGAUCCAGUAAAAGAUACACAAUAGUUUCCGGUGUAGAAACUAUUAUGUGAAAAAUUAAUUAAGUGCUCUGAAAAUUGACUGGAAAAGAAAAAAAAGAAAUAAAAAAGGAAAUAAAAAUUUCUAUGAAGGUAGAAUGCUGAAAAAAAUAGAAAGUAGUAAAAGUAAGUAGUGCUGUAAAUGCUUGCACGGCGGAAAAAAAAAGAGAGCCUUUAGGGUUGGAUCCAAGCAACUAUUUAUAUUAAUCCAUUUUGUAACCGUU
rnacentral:lncRNA from 1 species